rnacentral:rRNA from 1 species
GAUGAACGCUAGCGGCAGGCCUAAUACAUGCAAGUCGAGCGAACAGACCAUUAGCGUGCUCCACUCACCUUACCGGCGGGCAACGGGUUAACAACUUAAUAACCACACGGUGAUACUCGGAUAACAUCUGGAAACCUAACCUAAUACCUUAUAAUAUGGUAUACCUCGAUAUUCAAUACUGAAAUGGUGUUUUAUGGGCACGCGUACAAUUAGCCAGUUGGAGUGGUCACGGCACUCCAAGGCUACGAUAGGUAGGGGUCCUGAGAGGGAGAUCCCCCACACUGGUACUGCGACAGAGACCAGACUCCUACGGGAGGCAGCAGUAUGGAAUAUUAUGCAAUGGUCGGAAGACUGAACCAGCCAUGCCGCGUGCAGGAAGAAUGCCUUAUGGGUUGUAAGCUGCUUUUAUAUAGGAAGAAUAAGGCGUACGUGUACGUUGAUGACGGUACCAUAUGAAUAAGCAUCGGCUAACUCCGUG